UACGUAGGCAGCAAGCGUUGUUCGGAGUUACUGGGCGUAAAGAGUGCGUAGGCGGUUUUCUAAGUUUGGUGUGAAAUCUCCCGGCUCAACUGGGAGGGUGCGCCGAAGACUGGAAGGCUUGAGUAUGGGAGAGGUAAGCGGAAUUCCUGGUGUAGCGGUGAAAUGCGUAGAUAUCAGGAGGAACACCUGCGGUGUAGACGGCUUACUGGACCAUAACUGACGCUGAGGCACGAAAGCGUGGGUAGCAAACAGG
rnacentral:rRNA from 1 species